rnacentral:misc_RNA from 1 species
UAGAGAAAAUUGAAAAUGGAGAAGGGAACCAACACAGACCGGCCGUUCACCGACCGUUGCGAAUUUUGCAACAAGACAUUCUCUAGACGCGAUCAUCUGCUAAACCACGUGAGGCAACAUACGGGCCAAUCACCGCACCGAUGUCAAUUCUGUUCAAAAACGUUCACCAGAAAAGAACACCUUGUCAACCAUGUGCGUCUACACACCGGCGACAGCCCAUUUCAAUGUCGUUUCUGCAACAAAUCGUUCACGCGAGACGAACACUUGACCAAUCAUGUCAAACGUCACACCAACGAAUCGCCUCGCUGCGAGUAUUGUCUGAAAGCGUUCACACGGAAAGAACACCUCAUCAACCAUGUAAGGCAACACACGGGCGAAACGCCUUUCAAAUGCGACUACUGUCCCAAAGCGUUUGCCAGGAAGGAUUACCUGACAAACCACACUCGCAUACAUACGGGUGACGUGUACAAGUGCAUGUUCUGUGUGAAAACUUUUACACGCAAGGAGCACCUGACCAAUCACAUUUGUCAUCACACCGGCGAGGCGCCACACAAGUGUCUCUACUGUCCAAAGAGUUUCACACGCAAAGAGCACCUGAAAAGUCACACCUACAUUCAUACGGGUGGCUCACCGCAUCAGUGUCACAUCUGCAUGAAACACUUCACGCGCAAAGGCCACCUCGUCAGUCAUAUACGAGUUCACACCGGAGAAUCACCGUUUCAAUGCGAGUUCUGUUUGAAGGUGUUUACGCGGAAGGAGCACCUGACGAAGCACAGCAAGCAGCACGUGAUGCAAACCAACCUGAACUGCAACGUGUGCUCGAAGCCAUUCACCGACAAGCAGCAGCUCAUCCUGCACAUGGACAGUCACUCCGGUGACAAGCCCUUUGUCUGCGACGUCUGCGGCAAGGCGUUUCCCAUGAAGGGCAACCUCCUGUUCCACCGUCGCUCGCAUGAGAAGGGGCGGGUGCCACGCGAACGUCCCUUCCGCUGCGACGUCUGCCCCAAGGACUUUGUGUGUCGCGGCCAUCUUGAAUCGCACAAGCAGGCGCAGCAUGCGCCGCAGCCACCGCAAGUGAAGACGCAGCCGCAAUCGCAUGCCGCCGCCUGCGUUGAGCCCAGCGGCCAGCAGAGGCACUUCAAGAAGCAUGCGGCGGUCGCAGCGCAGGACGGCACCAAUCAGACCACAGUCAACUUGUGCGACUUCCAGUCGCUGCCACUCGUUCUCAACUAUCCCACGCUGCCGUUUCUCUACGCCACCAAAUAGGACCUGGAAAUUGAGAUAGCUUGAUGAAGAGUUAUCCGUUCUUAAUCCUAAAGAGACACACUGGGGUAUGAAACACCAGUGGCUAAUCGUGCAACCACUGUUGCAUAGAAUAGCUUUGAUGCAGAUUCUCAAGAGAAGAAAGUAACUAGUUGUCAAUUGUCGACCAUGAGCGACAUCUAGAAUAAAUUCAAAAUCUGGUGUGGCGCACUCACACAACUUUCCUUGCCGUAAUGAAAAUUGAUCACCUGACGCUAGUGUUCACGCGCAUCUCAAGUCUACUUAUAAAC